rnacentral:rRNA from 1 species
CGUAUGUCGCAAGCGUUAUCCGGAUUUAUUGGGCGUAAAGCGCGUCUAGGCGGCUUAGUAAGUCUGAUGUGAAAUGCGGGGCUCAACCCCGUAUUGCGUUGGAAACUGCUAAACUAGAGUACUGGAGAGGUAGGCGGAACUACAAGUGUAGAGGUGAAAUUCGUAGAUAUUUGUAGGAAUGCCGAUGGGGAAGCCAGCCUACUGGACAGAUACUGACGCUAAAGCGCGAAAGCGUGGGUAGCAAACAGGAUU